rnacentral:rRNA from 1 species
CACGUAGGGUGCGAGCGUUGUCCGGAAUUAUUGGGCGUAAAGAGCUCGUAGGCGGUCUGUCGCGUCGGAUGUGAAAGCCCCGGGGCUUAACCCCGGGUCUGCAUUCGAUACGGGCAGGCUAGAGUUCGGUAGGGGAGACUGGAAUUCCUGGUGUAGCGGUGAAAUGCGCAGAUAUCAGGAGGAACACCGGUGGCGAAGGCGGGUCUCUGGGCCGAUACUGACGCUGAGGAGCGAAAGCGUGGGGAGCGAACAGG